CCCGCGGCCCAGCGCUGGCCUUGCUGUCCCCGCGAUCGGCCUCGGCCCCGGGCGCUGGCAUCGCCCGCCGCAGGCUCCGGGCUCCAGGGCAGGCCCUGUCAAGAGUCAUCUGAAAACAAAGUCUCGUUCUGCUCUCCUGGCAUUCGGACUGUAAACAGCUUGGCCUCAUUCCACCUCGAAGGGAAGAAUCCUUCAGUGCACACCUACAAGAAUGGCUUUCCCACUUUUUCCUAGAAACUUCAGAUUACAUUUCCUACACCAAUGACUUUUACACAAGCAGAUUGGCGUUAUUACUUUUGAGAAACUAGAAUUCUAGAACGUCAUCUAGUAUGGACACCAUAGUCAAGUUUUCCCAGUUGUCAAAAAGUCAGACUGAUUUCCUAGAAAGGUGACCUAAUAAAGGUUGGAAUGUUGCCUCUA